GAGCUCUCUGACCCAUCUAUUAGUUAACAAGGGUAGUAUGGCUAUAGGGAGAACUUAAUUUGCAUGAACUUUCUACCCAGAAUUCCUCUGACACUUUCUACUAAAUGAAGCUGAAAUCAUCAUAGCUAGGUUAGGCAAUAAAGCUUCAGGACAGGACCAGGAAGCAUUUUCCAAAGGAGUGAAGACCGGCCUGCCCAAGUGCACUGCAGAACUCUUUGACUAUGCUAUCCACUGACACCAAACUCUGUACCUAAGGAUUCUCACCCGUAAGAAAAUGGCAGAUACCUAAAGAAAUCUGGCUGCAUGGAAAAGGACCUGGACAAUGCCGAAGAUUGCAC